CUUAUCCAAGUGUUCCCCACUCCCAGUCUAGCUGAAAUUCAUAAAAACUGGGCUGGCUUGUUGAGCAAAAAUGCUGUAGCUACACAGCAUUCAUCAUUAAAGCACACCUGCUCUUUCAAACAAACAUUAUGAGGCAUCACCUGCCUAUGUCUCUCUAAUGAAUACCUGGUUAUACGGUAUUUUUCGCUCAGAUCAGUCCUCACAGCAAAAUGGAAGGAGGAAUAGGAAAAUGGAAGUGAACAGAAGUUGCAGAGAAAGGUGGAUUAUGCACGGCAAUGGUGCUGUUAAAAGUAAACAUCACUGGGACUACAGCUUACCUUUAUGCCAAAGCAGGUUAUCACCUGCAUGUCACUGCUGAUGCUUGUCUGGCCACACCAAGAAGUACAGAAGCUAAACAUGCAGGAAAUUGCUACUCCCCCUUCCUCCCCACAAAAGAAAUAGAGAGAGAAGGAGAGAGAGAAACAGAGAGAGAAACAGAAAGAAAGAAGUGAGUGGGGAGCAGUUUUCAUCUGGUGUAAGUCUCUGAAAUGGCUUAUCACGAGGUCAGCUGAAAGCCAAGGCACGCACAAUGGAAGGAGUGGAGCUGAAGGGCUAGAGCACAGGAAUGCAGGGAGCAAAGGACUGACACAGUGGAACCCAGCCUGGAUGAAACUUCUGGGGAGCUGCAGCCAGAGAAACAUCUGUCUCUGGAACUGACAGAUGUAAAAUGUUUGUAACUCCCCACUGCAUGGCUUCUAUCUCUGCUUUUUGCCUGUUUAUUUCUUGAUACAAAGAAGCCCCGAUGCCCAAGUUUUGCUUCUGAAAUGCAAUGCUUAAAAGCAGGAGCAGCACAUACCAGGGAGCCGUCACUGUGCUGCAUUCACACCCCGUGGUGUGGAAGCUGUUGUUUCUUGCAGUGAUUGCUCCUGAGAGAGGGCCUUGAACUAUACUGGAGUGGUUUUGCUUCUUACGAUCUAAGGAAUUUUUGUUUGGAUUGGGUUGGAUUUGUUAUUGUUUUUUCUUAUUAAUUUUAGUUUGCGAGUCUUUCUUUCUUUUUUCCCCAGCAGUCACCAGCCUUGUUACUGAUGCCUGGUCAAUUGGUUGGUCGGAGGAUAGAUAUGAGAAACACAAACUGCACGGUACUUUUAAAACAUACAGGCUGUGUUAAGUUCCCAGCUUCACAGCACACCGGACGUUCAAACAGUCUGGAUCCUAUUUAGCAAACAUUGUAGAACGUAUUCAGUUAAUAAAAGCUUGGCAAAUAUUAGUAAAAGGCUUGUAAUGGCUGGGAGUGAUGUAAAGGUUAAAAGCUUUGAUAGCAUCGUACCAAGCCCGGAUGAAGCUUGAAGGAACCAAAAUGAUGGGCCAAUGAGAAAUCUCAGUGCUGAUGAGGACAUGAUGAAAUAUUCAUUUGUUGGAAUCAGGAAAAGAUGCAACUGUUCUAUAAAUCUGCAUUUAGCUUCAGAACUUGAUUUUUUUAUAUAUAUUUUUCAGCUCAUGCAGUCCAAUUCUCUCAUUAUCAGUGUAUACAAACUAAAACAAGGAAGAAGUUUCCUCACUACUCCCAGCCUGACAAGAAAGCAAGAUGUUCUUUUCUUUAUGCUUAUGUUACACUGUUUUUCCCUAAUUACAAGCCAGGAGAGGGCUGCAGGGCAGACAGGCACAUGGGGAACGCUAUUUAUUGGUAGGAUCAUUUUGGUGCAGCUGCUGCCCUGACUGGGCAGAGAGAAGCUCCCUGUGGCCCUGAGAUUCCAGCACCUCUCAGGGAAGGCCUGGACAGGAGACGCAAAACCAGGACCACCAGAACUCAUGUGCCAGAUCAGGAUGCACUGCAUUCCCGCUUCCAAAACCGCCCUGAAGAUUCACUUUCCUUUAAAGGCUUGUCUGGACGAGGAUAAAGGUGUAUUUAAAAAAAAAAAAAAGUGCCAGUGAAAAACUUUUAAUUAACAUGAUUUCAGACCCGCAGUGUUGACGGGGUGUGUUGUAUUUUAGCGCAUUUGCCAGCAAACGUGUUAAAAUACAUUUGUGUCCUGUCUACAGGUAACAAGUUGGGACAAGUUUCCAAAAGUUUCAACAUUUAAUUGGAAUUAAAAGUGCUGACUGAGGUACUUUUACCCUGGCUGGGGCUGGGUGUCGUACAUGGAUUUUCUGGAGCUCUGAGAACAGCUGUGAGGCACACACUAUCAGCAAACACUGUGUCACAGGUGAGCAGCCAUAGCUGGGAGGCAGUGGCUCUGUGGGUUUGCUGGGCAGCACCUCCUGACUUUCCAUCAGCCCUAUCUCAGCCCUCCCACUUCCCAACAGGAGAGUGUGAAACCAAUCUUGGGCAAAACAUGCUGCGAGGAGUCACAUGUGGAAGCACUGCUGACAAGCUGAUUUCGGGGGUACAGCGUGCAACUGGAGAUCAGGCACUGGGCUAAGGUGAGGCAUGGCCUUUGGUAUGGCGAUGGGAGGGGAACCCAGAGCUGCACUUUCUUAUUCACUAUUGGGCAUCUCAGAGGUGUCCCUCGGUGGAUGUUCUUAGAAAUGUUACCAUGGCACACAGGGGAUAUAACUACGUGCUGACACAGCUCUUGUGGUAGAAGCCGAAAUACAUUUACAGUGGAAUCAUUCUUUUUCAAACGCUAAACCUCUGUAAGCACCUGGUACAUCAUUGGUCCUGCCAGAGAAACGCUGUGAGAUGGUCGCUGUGGGUCCCUUCCACCUCAGGAUAUUCUAUGAUUCUAUGACCUUUGUGUGUGGAAGCCACUGCAGCACAAUGGAGAUGAAAAGAUCAAGAACUUAAGUGAAGUGCAAGAUUAAGAAUGAGGAAUCUCCCCUGCAGCGUAUUUGUUCUUGCUGGAGUCCUAAAGGUGUGGUGUGACAGUGAGCAGCCCAGCGGCUGCUGGGCCAGCCACAUGGUUACAUCUGGUGGUGGCACCUCACAUCAAGGGGUCUCUGUUAGAACAGAGCUGUCCAGGUUGCGAUGCACUGGGAAGGCAGCAUGCAGUUGUAGAACAUAGAAAUGGUUGAAAACCACACCGUUUGCAAAGCAUAUGCCGCCAAAACUCCCACAGCUGCUCUGUGCAGUGUUUCAGUGCCACCGCUCUGAGAUCCACGCGCUGCUACAGAAGAAAGGGAACUCGCAGAUGCCCACGCAGGUGAAAUCCCAGUGCAGGUGGACAGACGGAUGGCUUCUAGUGCUGUCAGGUCCUGGCACGGUCUUCAAGGAGGUCUUCUCCAUGAGCUGGUAUCUCGACUAGCGUGAAAAAGACAAAAUAAUAGUUAAAAAAAAGAGAAAACCACGAUCCAAAUGAAGAGGGAGCAGAGCAAGCACCGAGCUCGGAGUUCCCUCGGGAAGUGGCUCACGAAGAUCUCCGCCUCUCCUCGCCCCUCCGUCGCGCAAACGCCCGCCGAGCACCCGCGGUGCCCCGAACGGGCGUGUCCGGGCGGGGGGGGUUCCGGCCGCCGCCGCGACCCCGUUCC
ensembl:lncRNA